GAUGAACGCUGGCGGCGUGCCUAAUACAUGCAAGUAGAACGCUGAAGGAGGAGCUUGCUCUUCUGGAUGAGUUGCGAACGGGUGAGUAACGCGUAGGUAACCUGCCUGGUAGCGGGGGAUAACUAUUGGAAACGAUAGCUAAUACCGCAUGACAACAGUUAUUGCAUGAUAACUGUUUAAAAGGGGCAACUGCUCCACUACCAGAUGGACCUGCGUUGUAUUAGCUAGUUGGUGAGGUAACGGCUCACCAAGGCGACGAUACAUAGCCGACCUGAGAGGGUGAUCGGCCACACUGGGACUGAGACACGGCCCAGACUCCUACGGGAGGCAGCAGUAGGGAAUCUUCGGCAAUGGACGGAAGUCUGACCGAGCAACGCCGCGUGAGUGAAGAAGGUUUUCGGAUCGUAAAGCUCUGUAGUAAGAGAAGAACGAGUGUGAGAGUGGAAAGUUCACACUGUGACGGUAGCUUACCAGAAAGGGACGGCUAACUACGUG
rnacentral:rRNA from 1 species